rnacentral:tRNA from 1 species
GAGGGUAUAUCUCAGUGGAAGAGUGCGGUGCUUAGCACACAUGAGGUCCUGGGUUCAAACCCCGGUACCUCCA